CAGUCUGCGUGGAGCCGACCUUGAAAUACCACCCUUUAAUGUUUGAUGUUCUAACGUGGAUCCGUAAUCCGGGUUGCGGACAGUGUCUGGUGGGUAGUUUGACUGGGGCGGUCUCCUCCUAAAGAGUAACGGAGGAGCACGAAGGUUGGCUAAUCCUGGUCGGACAUCAGGAGGUUAGUGCAAUGGCAUAAGCCAGCUUGACUGCGAGCGUGACGGCGCGAGCAGGUGCGAAAGCAGGUCAUAGUGAUCCGGUGGUUCUGAAUGGAAGGGCCAUCGCUCAACGGAUAAAAGGUACUCCGGGGAUAACAGGCUGAUACCGCCCAAGAGUUCAUAUCGACGGCGGUGUUUGGCACCUCGAUGUCGGCUCAUCACAUCCUGGGGCUGAAGUAGGUCCCAAGGGUAUGGCUGUUCGCCAUUUAAAGUGGUACGCGAGCUGGGUUUAGAACGUCGUGAGACAGUUCGGUCCCUAUCUGCCGUGGGCGCUGGAGAACUGAGGGGGGCUGCUCCUAGUACGAGAGGACCGGAGUGGACGCAUCACUGGUGUUCGGGUUGUCAUGCCAAUGGCACUGCCCGGUAGCUAAAUGCGGAAGAGAUAAGUGCUGAAAGCAUCUAAGCACGAAACUUGCCCCGA
rnacentral:rRNA from 1 species